GACGAACGCUGGCGGCGUGCUUAACACAUGCAAGUCGAGCGGUAAGGCCCUUUCGGGGGUACGACGAGCGGCGAACGGGUGAGUAACACGUGGGUGACCUGCCCUCAGCUCUGGGAUAAGCCUGGGAAACCGGGUCUAAUACCGGAUAUGACUCCAUGACGCAUGUUGUGGGGUGGAAAGCCUUGUGCGGCUGAGGAUGGGCCCGCGGCCUAUCAGCUUGUUGGUGGGGGAUGGCCUACCAAGGCGACGACGGGUAGGCCGGCCUGAGAGGGCGACCGGCCACACUGGGACUGAGACACGGCCCAGACUCCUACGGGAGGCAGCAGUGGGGAAUCUUGCGCAAUGGGCGAAAGCCUGACGCAGCGACGCCGCGUGA
rnacentral:rRNA from 1 species